rnacentral:rRNA from 1 species
CGGGAGGCAGCAGUGGGGAAAUAUUGCACAAUGGGCGCAAGCCUGAUGCAGCAACGCCGCUGAGGGACGAAGGCCUUCGGGUUGUAAACCUCUUUUAGUAGGGAAGAAGCGACUGGGUUUUCCUGGGAGUGACGGUACCUGCAGAAAAAGCACCGGCUAACUACGUGCCAGCAGCCGCGGUAAUACGUAGGGUGCAGCGUUGUCCGGAAUUAUUGGGCGUAAAGAGCUCGUAGGCGGUUUGUCGCGUCUGCUGUGAAAACCCGAGGCUCAACCACGGGCCUGCAGUGGGUACGGGCAGACUAGAGUGCGGUAGGGGAGAUUGGAAUUCCUGGUGUAGCGGUGGAAUGCGCAGAUAUCAGGAGGAACACCAAUGGCGAAGGCAGAUCUCUGGGCCGUAACUGACGCUGAGGAGCGAAAGCAUGGGGGGCGAACAGGAUUAGAUACCCUGGUAGUCCAUGCCGUAAACGUUGGGAACUAGAUGUGGGGACCAUUCCACGGUCUCCGUGUCGCAGCUAACGCAUUAAGUUCCCCGCCUGGGGAGUACGGCCGCAAGGCUAAAACUCAAAGGAAUUGACGGGGGCCCGCACAAGCGGCGGAGCAUGCGGAUUAAUUCGAUGCAACGCGAAGAACCUUACCAAGGCUUGACAUAUACCGGAAACGGCUGGAAACAGUCGCCCCGCAAGGUCGGUAUACAGGUGGUGCAUGGUUGUCGUCAGCUCGUGUCGUGAGAUGUUGGGUUAAGUCCCGCAACGAGCGCAACCCUCGUCCUAUGUUGCCAGCACGUAAUGGUGGGAACUCAUGGGAUACUGCCGGGGUCAACUCGGAGGAAGGGGGGGAUGACGCCAAAUCAUCAUGCCCCUUAUGUCUUGGGCUUCACGCAUGCUACAAUGGCCGGUACAAAGGGCUGCGAUACCGCAAGGUGGAGCGAAUCCCAAAAAGCCGGUCUCAGUUCGGAUUGAGGUCUGCAACUCGACCUCAUGAAGUCGGAGUCGCUAGUAAUCGCAGACCAGCAACGCUGCGGUGAAUACGUUCCCGGGCCUUGUACACACCGCC